AUGAACGCUGGCGGCGUGCCUAAUACAUGCAAGUCGAGCGAACAGACGAGGAGCUUGCUCCUCUGACGUUAGCGGCGGACGGGUGAGUAACACGUGGAUAACCUACCUAUAAGACUGGGAUAACUUCGGGAAACCGGAGCUAAUACCGGAUAAUAUAUUGAACCGCAUGGUUCAAUAGUGAAAGACGGUUUUGCUGUCACUUAUAGAUGGAUCCGCGCCGCAUUAGCUAGUUGGUAAGGUAACGGCUUACCAAGGCGACGAUGCGUAGCCGACCUGAGAGGGUGAUCGGCCACACUGGAACUGAGACACGGUCCAGACUCCUACGGGAGGCAGCAGUAGGGAAUCUUCCGCAAUGGGCGAAAGCCUGACGGAGCAACGCCGCGUGAGUGAUGAAGGUCUUCGGAUCGUAAAACUCUGUUAUUAGGGAAGAACAAAUGUGUAAGUAACUAUGCACGUCUCGACGGUACCUAAUCAGAAAGCCACGGCUAACUACGUG
rnacentral:rRNA from 1 species